UACGGGGGGGGCAAGCGUUGUUCGGAAUUACUGGGCGUAAAGGGCGCGUAGGCGGCGCGGUAAGUCACUUGUGAAAUCUCUGAGCUUAACUCAGAACGGCCAAGUGAUACUGCAGUGCUAGAGUGUGGAAGGGGCAAUCGGAAUUCUUGGUGUAGCGGUGCAAUGCGUAGAUAUCAAGAGGAACACCUGAGGUGAAGACGGGUUGCUGGGCCAACACUGACGCUGAGGCGCGAAAGCCAGGGGAGCAAACGGG
rnacentral:rRNA from 1 species